rnacentral:rRNA from 1 species
AGCGAACGCUGGCGGCAGGCCUAACACAUGCAAGUCGAACGAAGCCUUCGGGCCUAGUGGCGGACGGGUGAGUAACACGUGGGAACGUACCUUUUGGUUCGGAACAACUCAGGGAAACUUGAGCUAAUACCGGAUAAGCCCUUAGGGGGAAAGAUUUAUCGCCGAAAGAGCGGCCCGCGUUAGAUUAGCUAGUUGGUGAGGUAAAGGCUCACCAAGGCAACGAUCUAUAGCUGGUCUGAGAGGAUGAUCAGCCACACUGGGACUGAGACACGGCCCAGACUCCUACGGGAGGCAGCAGUGGGGAAUCUUGCGCAAUGGGCGAAAGCCUGACGCAGCCAUGCCGCGUGAAUGAUGAAGGUCUUAGGAUUGUAAAAUUCUUUUACCAGGGACGAUAAUGACGGUACCUGGAGAAAAAGCCCCGGCUAACUUCGUGCCAGCCGCCGCCGUAACAC